rnacentral:piRNA from 1 species
UGGCCCUUCAGUCUAACCAGUGAAGCUGC